rnacentral:ncRNA from 1 species
UGCCUUACCUCCUCCUUACAUUUGCUCUCUUACUUGUUGCUUUUAGAUGUUAAGAAUUGAAUCAUUAUCACACUUAUCAUUGUUGAUACUCGACAUAGCUAAGAAUCGAAUUAAGUGUCUUUACUCCCUACUCCCUGUGGAUUCGAUACCCGCUCACCCGGGAUUAUUACUUCGACAAACCCAUACACUUGCGAGAUAUACGCAAGGUGAUCUUGUCAGUCAGGUAAAGGCUGACCAAGCCAAUGAUGCUUAGCUGGUCUUUUCGGAUGAUCAGCCACACUGGGAAUGAGACACUGCCCGGACUCCCACGGGGGAUAGCAGUGUGGAAUCUUGGACAAUGGGCGAAAGCCCGAUCCAGCAAUAUCACGUGAGUGAAGAAGGGCAAUGCUGCUUGUAAAGCUCUUUCGUCAAGUGCGCGAUCAUGACAGGACUCGAGGAAGAAGCCCUGGCUAACUCCGUGCCAGCAACCACGGUAAGAUGGGGGGGCAAGUGUUCUUCGGAAUGACUAGGCAUAAAGGGCACAUAGCGCGGUGAAUCGGGUUGAAAGUGAAAGUCGCCAAAAACUGGCGGAAUGCUCUCAAAACCAAUUCACUUGAGUGAGACAGAGAAGAGUGGAAUUUCGUGUGUAGGGGUGAAAUCCGUAGAUCUACGAAGGAAGGCCAAAAGCGAAGGCAGCUCUCUGGGUCCCUACCGACGCUGGGGUGCAAAAGCAUGGGGAGUGAACAGGAUUAGAUACCCUAGUAGUCCAUGCCAUAAACGAUGAGUAUUCACCCUUGGUCUACGCGGAUCAGGGGCCCAGCUAACGCGUGAAACACUCUGCCUGGGGAGUACGGUCACAAGACCAAAACUCAAAGGAAUUGACGGGGGCCUGCACAAGCAGUGGAGCAUGUGGUUUAAUUCGAUACAACGCUCAAAACCUUACCAGCCCUUGACAUAUGAACAACAAAACCUGUCCUUAACGGGAUGGUACUGACUUUCACUUUCAACCCGAAGAACACUUGCCCGAUUGUGUUGUUGAGACAUGCGCCUAAGGAGAAAUGGCAACCGAAGUAAGCCGAGUGACGUGUCAGCGCUACUACUUGAGUGCCAGCAUGUAGCUGUGCUUUCAACAAGAAUUUUACGGGAGCCGGUGCCUUUCGAAGCACUUUCACGUGUGAACCGAAGUCCUCUUGCGUCACUCGUUCCCCUACCUAUAGUGACGUCAAAGUACCUAUGACCAUGAUGGUUUGGUUAGGCUUGGUUACGAUGAUGUCGAGUUGGCGGCAGAGGAAGACUUGGCAUUCAGGUGAGCCACCCGGUGGUGUGGUUCGUAGUGGUAAUAGUACGCAUCCCGCUCCGAAACAAAGAAAAAGGUGUGUGCCACUCUCACGAGAGACUGCUAGUGAGAUACUGGAGGAAGGUGGGGAUGACAUCAAGUCCGCAUGGCCCUUAUGGGCUAGGCCACACACGUGCUACAAUGGCAAUGACAAUAGGAAACAAGGCUGUAAGGCGGAGCGAAUCCGGAAAGAUUGCCUCAGUUCGGAUUGUUCUCUGCAACUCGGAAACAUGAAGUAGGAAUCGCUAGUAAUCACGGAUCAGCAUGCCGCAGUGAAUAUGUACCCGAGCCUUGUACACACUACCCGUCACACCCUGGUAAUUGGUUUCGCCCGAAGCAUCGGACCAAUGAUCACCCAUGACUUCUGUGUACCACUAGUGCCACAAUGGCUUUUGGUGGUCUUAUUGGCGCAUACCACGGUGGGGUCUUCGACUGGGGUGAAGUCGUAACAAGGUAGCCGUAGGAGAACCUGUGGCUG